GAUGAGGCUAUAUAGUGAGCCUAGAGACCACAAGGGAAGAUAGAUUAUGAAAUUAUAGGGUCUUUUUCAAUUAGGGAAGCUUGUAAACUAUUUAGUGACGCACACAAAAGAGGCAUGUAUCAAUUUUUCAGGCGUAACUGUAACUGACAUUGACAUUGGUAUUGACUUUUGAUAUUUACAUAUUUUUACCCUUUAAUAAAAUAUUUUCGUAUGUUAAAUAAUAAACAUAAUGAAUUUAUGUUAUGUAAAAGAAAAUGAUAGCCUAAUUUGUGAAAUGUUAUAAUGAUUCAUUUUGAUGUUAUGAAAUUAAUGCGCAUAAAAUUACCUGUGAUUUUUUUUUUAAACCAUUGGCUAGUUUAAUUGCAAAAUUUCUGUACUCGCCUAGAUUUUGGACAAAACAAACUAGAAUUUAUAACAUUACCAAACUUGGAGAGCUGGUCGAUUGCGCGAAAAAUGUUGUUGGAAGAAACCCGGCUCAUGCACGGGUUUUAUGGAAUUGGCGGGCUAAGUUGUCAAAUGAUCCAAAUCUGAGUACUUUUGUUACAUCGCCACCAACACAAAGAGCGAAUCCAAGUGACGAAAUCGCUAUUCAAACAAGUUUUUGUCAUACACUUUCUCACAUUUUUCUCGCACCUGUGCAGGGUAUGUUUCACUAUUACAUAAGUAUCUGAUUAUGUAAUUAGACCAUGAUUUGCUGAAAAAUAUCUACCUUGUACUCUUUUGCAGGCUGGAGUACCUUUUCAAAACAAGGUUCAAAUGAUUGAGUAUUACGACAACUAUUAUCCGGAUAUGAUGAAAGCACUGUAUGAAUCACUUGGAAUUAUUUAUAAUACUCUGAGGCGUAACCGUGUAAGUUAGCUUGAACUUAAUAGAACAUUUGUAGCAAGGUUGUGGCGAAGGAUAUUAUAAAGAUCUUUGUAAUCCUUAACAUUUCAAUAACCCCCUUCUCAUGUUAGACACAUUUAUGAUCUUGUUGUAACUAAAACUCUGUUAGCAAUUUUUAUAUUAAUUUUCUGCUUUGUAUGUCUAGCAUAUUCAUUUUUGAAAGCAUUUAAACAUGACACCAGCAGACGUGGUAGCUAUGAAAUCUAAAGAAAUCUAAUAGAUGUAAUAGAUACAUUUUUGGGGGUUGUUAAACGUCGCUCCCAAUUUACUGGUGUCGUUCGCAUUUUUUCUUUGAAAUUUCGUAUUUACCCCUCGUAUAUAAAUACUCACAACACUCACUCACGACACUUACCACACAUUCACGCACAUAUUUCACUCUCAUUUUAGAAAUUUACCCCUCAACCUUACCCUUAAGGAAUUUGUUAGAUCGAUCGGCAAGUUGAAGAGUGACAUUGGUGGGUACCAAACCACCUAUACCAAGCUUCUCAUAAACCCAAAGAGGCAUCAAACUCGCACUAGCUCCUAGAUCACAUAAGGCAUUUUCAAAGGAAAUGUUCUUAAUAGAGCAAGGAAUAGAGAAACUUCCGAGAUCUUUUAGUUUAGUGGUUGAAUGGUUCUUGAUGAUCGCACUACAAUUUUCGGUUAAGCUCACCGUGGUGGAUUCAGUCAUGACAACUAUCUCAUCCUUACUUGACUUAGAUACCUCACAUUGUUUCUCUUCCUUAACCUCCUCACUCUCAUUCUCUUUUUGCAAACUCAUGGGUGGAGUUUCAUCUAUGCUAGUCCCACAUCUAGUCAUAAUUGCAUUGCAAUGUUCUCUAUGAUCAAUAGCUUGACUAGGCAAAGAGGUCCUAGCAUCUUAUUGUGGGGGUUGCACUUGCUUGAUACUCUCUUCUAAGUCAUUGGUUUUCUUUGUUUGCAUAUUAACAAAUUUUUCCAUUGUGGUUUCUAGACUCGACUUAGGAGGGGGAGCUUGAAUUUGGAGAGGGGGUUGAGGAAUAGGAGCAAGGGUUGGUCUAUUUCCUCCAUUUAAAUCAGGUGGGUUAUUAUUAGAAGAAUAUUGACCCCUUUGAUGGUACCUAUUGUCAUUUUGAUGGUUCACUUGGUUAUUUGACACAUAGUAACCAUUACCUUGAUUCCGAUAAUUUCCUUGGUUGUUAUUUUGAACAUUCCUUUGGCCACUCUAUUGACCUUGACCAUUUCCUUGGGUUUGAUACCCUUUCCAACCAAAGUUUGGGUGAUGUUUUCAUCCCUCAUUAUAAGUGUUGGAAUAAAGGUCAUAACUAGGAUUGUGUUGACCAUUGUUGAUUGCAUUUACUUGUUUUAUGGAAGGGGAGGGGGAUCAUGAAUCAUUUAGCAAAUAACAUUCGGAAUUCACAUGAUCAUCACUUCCACAAGACAUCAUUUGUAUUGACAUAUUUUCAUUAGAUGAACUAGAUGCAUGUGAAUUUUGAUUUGGAGAAGGGGAUAGAAAAGAGGAUUGAAAUUGAUCAAACUUAGAAGAUAAAGCAUCUAAUUUUGAAUUAAUCAUAUUUAUAGCAUUUACCUUAUACUUUCCUCCCUUCUUGGAGAUGCUCCUCUCGUCAGGACUCUAAUCGGUGUAGUUUUGAACUACAUCUUCGAUGAUCUUUAGCGCCUCCGUGGAUGGCUUGUUCAUGAUUGGUCCUCCCGAUGUUCCAACCUACAAUAUGCGGUUCGCUCUUAAAAGACCUCUAUAAAACCCAUGGAGCAAGAGUCAAUCUUCCAUGCCAUGGUGUGGGCAUUGUUGUUGGUAACUCUUGAAUCUCUCCCAAGCAUCAUAGAGGGACUCGUCGGGGUCAUGUUGGAAGUUUGAUAUUUUUUAUCUCAACUCCGCCGUUUUCCCAAGAGGAAUGAACCUCCCAUGGAAUGCCGAAGUCACCUCAUUCCAUGUAUUUAAUGAGUUUUGAGGUAAGCUAUCAAGUCAAUCACUUUCAUUGCCCAUAAGAGAAAACUUGAGCAUGCUCAACAAAAUGUAUUCUGGAGUCACCCCAUUUGCCUUCACGGUGCUACAAUACCAUGUGAAUUGCUUAAGAUGCGCAAUGGGAUCCUUAUGUUUUGCCCCGAAGAUUUAAUGACCCUCUAUCAAGGUGAUAAGGGCGGGCCUUAUCUCAAAAUUGUUUGCUUCGAUAGCGAGAGUAGCAAUCCCACUUGCUUCUUGAUAUGGUGGAGGAACACUAAACUCUCUUAUGGUUUUGUUUGGAAGAGCCAUUUGAAAUUGAUGGGGAGGUGAAGAAGUUGGAGAAUUAGUUCUUGAUGACUCUAAUUGAAUGGUGUCUGCACUAGACUCACUAGAACUAGAAUGAUCAAAAUCAACCACCACUUGUGGCUCACUUGAAGUAGCACCACUACCUCACGCUCUCUUUUCUCUUCGGUUUGCCCUUACAACCUUUUCAAGCUCAAGAUUCAACGGCACAAGAGUAGCCACGCGUGGAAAUGACAUGUGUGAAAGCAUAAGCGGUUACUGCUGAGGAGCUGAGGGGAAACACAAAAUCAGUGUUGGUUGUCGUGUAUUUUGGGGUUUUUCUUAAUGCUAUUAACUACAAAUUACAUCUGAAAUUGUAUCGGGGUCUUUCAUACUUGUUUGUUGUAUGUCAUUUUCAGAUGUAGAAUUGAAGAGUGAGUAGAAUUGAACGGCUAUAAUGCUGGUAUUUAAAUUGAAGUGUGAGUAGAACUGGGUCAAAUUCGAAUCUAGGAAUUGAUGAAUUGGGUUUGAUUUGAUCAGUUUUUGAACUUGAAGGUUGAGAUUUGAUGUUUGGUUGGUUGGUUGAAAACUUGAGCUUAUGUUGUUCUAUGUAAUUUGGGAAGGGAAUCUUGGGGUUUGCAGGAAGUGACUGUAAGAUUUGUGGAUUGCAGAGAAUAAAUUUAAAUUAAAGAAAUCCUUUGUUAAAGCUUGAUAUGAUGUUGCAGGCCAUAAACUCAUUAAACACAAAAAAAAAAUUAAAAAGUGAGGUGAGGAAGACUUAAGCAUCAGCUGGCUAAUGGGGGGUGAACGAGUGAAACUCAUACGAGGAGAGAGAAAGAAAGGAGGGGAGGAUGGGGGGUUGGUUACGGAUUCAUAACUCAAACAAGGGCAUCAUAUCAGGCUUGGUUGUUACUCAAUAUUUUUGGCUACUUGAAGAGAAUCCGGAUGUUGUUUCAGACUUUCAGCAAUGAGAAGCAAGUUGUAUAUUAUGACUAUUAAGAACAAGAAAGCUUCAGUGCAUGAAUAGCUACAAUCUGAGAAGGCCAAGACAGUUGAUCAAAGUAAGAAGAGAUAUGGAUUUUCAUCAUCUAAUACCAGUAAUGGUAAUCAAAUUAAAUGAUGAGGCGGAAGAAUGGGCAUGGAUUCCAAUAAAACAACUCCAUUCUCCGGUAAUCUACGGAAAUACUAAGCUAGCUUAAUCACUCGAAAAUCAUUUUUGUUCAUGUAAUUGAACUUCAGUUUAAGUUACCUCUGAUUUCUGCAUCUUUGAGGUUACUCCUGUUAUAUGGAUGAUCAGUCUUGGACUACUGCCAAACCUUUUGAUUAUCUGUGGCUGAUGGUCCUUAAAGCUUGUGGUCUUUGAGUAUUGGGUUGCUCCUUAAAGCUUGUGGUCUUCAUGCUUUUUAGUUCUCAUCUCACUCCUAAAGUCCUAAUGCUGCUGUCAGUGAAUCUUGAGUAUUCUACUUGGAGAUUAUCAUCGUUAAUUGCCGAGUUUAAAUCUGGUGAUGAUAGGAAAACUGCUGCUGAAGAUACUAUGAAUGCUUACAAAGCUACUCAGGCAUUUGAAGAAGCCACGUUGCAGAGCUGGAUACUAUAGUUGAAGAAUCUUAAAAGGACAACCUCUCCCUCUAGACACCAGCCCAAGUCAGUAUAGCUAUGCUAAAGCCUACAUUCACAUGCUUCAUUAUUGGUUAUGAGUAUACGUUGGCAAUCGUGUAUAUCGCUCGGAGACUGACUUAAUUUAUUUUUAAAGCUUGUGGUCUUCGUGUCAUUUUAUUUUUGACAAUUUUUACAAUGUGGGUUUGUGGGGUUAAUUUGGUUUAUUUUUGUUUCCCAUAUUUAAAUUUGUUUAUUUUUGUUUUUUUGAUCUACAUUGGCAAUAUUGCACCAUUUUACGGAGACUACACUACA